CCUAAAACAGUAUUGACCAGCUUGCUUCAGUAACUGGUUUCUUUCUGUGCACAUAUGGCAACAGCAGGGCUCUUUUUUGUCAGUAUCCCUACUGUACCUGUGAUCAGUGUCAAAUUCUUCAGAAGUACAAGAUCUGCUUUAAUACUAUUUAAAAUUCCCGUUAGUAGAAAACACACUUCUUCCUGAUAAGAUAUUCAAUGACAUAAAAAAGUGCAUGGCUGGUGGGGACAGAAAACCAUCCAAGAAGGAACAGAGGUAAAAAUGCUAGUAAGAAGCAACCAAAAACAUGGAUUAUAGGAUCUAUAA
rnacentral:lncRNA from 1 species